rnacentral:rRNA from 1 species
GUAGGUGGCAAGCGUUGUCCGGAAUUAUUGGGCGUAAAGCGCGCGCAGGCGGUUCUUUAAGUCUGAUGUGAAAGCCCACGGCUCAACCGUGGAGGGUCAUUGGAAGCUGGAGAACUUGAGUACAGAAGAGGAAAGCGGAAUUCCACGUGUAGCGGUGAAAUGCGUAGAGAUGUGGAGGAACACCAGUGGCGAAGGCGGCUUUCUGGUCUGUAACUGACGCUGGGGCGCGAAAGCGUGGGGAGCAAACAGGAUUAGAUACCCUGGUAGUCCACGCCGUAAACGAUGAGUGCUAAGUGUUAGGGGGGUUUUCCGCCCCCCUUAGUGCUGCAGCUAACGCAUUAAGCACUCCGCCUGGGAGUACGGCCGCAAGGCUG